rnacentral:rRNA from 1 species
UACGUAGGGCGCAAGCGUUGUCCGGAAUUAUUGGGCGUAAAGAGCUCGUAGGCGGUCUGUCGCGUCGGAUGUGAAAACCCAGGGCUCAACCCUGGGCCUGCAUUCGAUACGGGCAGACUAGAGUUCGGUAGGGGAGACUGGAAUUCCUGGUGUAGCGGUGAAAUGCGCAGAUAUCAGGAGGAACACCGGUGGCGAAGGCGGGUCUCUGGGCCGAAACUGACGCUGAGGAGCGAAAGCGUGGGGAGCGAACAGG